rnacentral:rRNA from 1 species
AUUGAACGCUGGCGGCAGGCCUAACACAUGCAAGUCGAGCGGAUGACGGGAGCUUGCUCCUUGAUUCAGCGGCGGACGGGUGAGUAAUGCCUAGGAAUCUGCCUGGUAGUGGGGGACAACGUUUCGAAAGGAUCGCUAAUACCGCAUACGUCCUACGGGAGAAAGCAGGGGACCUUCGGGCCUUGCGCUAUCAGAUGAGCCUAGGUCGGAUUAGCUAGUUGGUGGGGUAAUGGCUCACCAAGGCGACGAUCCGUAACUGGUCUGAGAGGAUGAUCAGUCAGACUGGAACUGAGACACGGUCCAGACUCCUACGGGAGGCAGCAGUGGGGAAUAUUGGACAAUGGGCGAAAGCCUGAUCCAGCCAUGCCGCGUGUGUGAAGAAGGUCUUCGGAUUGUAAAGCACUUUAAGUUGGGAGGAAGGGCAGUAAGUUAAUACCUUGCUGUUUUGACGUUACCGACAGAAUAAGCACCGGCUAACUCUGUGCCAGCCGCCGCGGUAA